rnacentral:sRNA from 1 species
CAUUAGCCCUGAUGGCAAUGGAAAUCCCUUUUGGAUGAUCGUUGAAUUGUCUGAUUUAAUGAUUUUAACCAAAAGGAUUGGAAUGUACAGCAGGACUGAAC